rnacentral:rRNA from 1 species
UACGUAGGGUGCAAGCGUUGUCCGGAAUUAUUGGGCGUAAAGAGCUCGUAGGCGGUCUGUCGCGUCGGCUGUGAAAACCCGAGGCUCAACCUCGGGCCUGCAGUCGAUACGGGCAAACUAGAGUACUGCAGGGGAGACUGGAAUUCCUGGUGUAGCGGUGAAAUGCGCAGAUAUCAGGAGGAACACCGGUGGCGAAGGCGGGUCUCUGGGCCGUAACUGACGCUGAGGAGCGAAAGCGUGGGGAGCGAACCGG